CUCUGUAGUUACCAUACCUCCUUGGGACAAAGGGAUAAACUACAGCCACAGCAGCUACUGCCAAUCUCCCAUUUCUCUGUAAUCUGAGGGAAGAUGCCUCCUGAGGGAACAGAGCAGCAAGCAACCUGACUGGAGAAACAAGAAUGGAAAUGCACCGAUGGUGGCAAACUCCAGGCCAAUGGCUUUGAUCAGCUGUAUCCUCCCUAGUGGGGAGCAGUCCUGGCUCCUGACAAGAUCCAGGCUGAGAACGAAUGGCCAGCUCAGGCCCACACCUGCGGAUAAGUAGGAUAAAGCUCAAAGAGGAUAAGUAAUCAACCCACGGUUUUCUGGAAUGCAAGCUAAUCAAUGUGGAAGCACAACAGAAUUAGAAAACCACCAUGUUGCAGUCCUCAGCAUAAUAAUCAGCCCAGAUGGGCAAGCUGAGGGUGCAGGAGAGUCUCUUAAUCAUCAUCGUUGCUAUCACAGCACAAACAGCAGGCACGCUUGCUCUGUAUCAGGCUCUGCAAACACUUUAUAUCUAUCACCUUACUUAUCACUCCGACCCUGUGCCGCGAGCAUUAUUAUGACCACUUGAACUGUGGAGAUACUGAGUUAAGGGGAGGUUAAAUCACCUUUCCCAUCUCAAGAUCACACUUGUUUGGUAGGUGUUGGUCUGGGAUUCAAACCCAAGUCCAUCGGACUCUACGCCCACAUUCUCGAGCACUGCUAACACUACCUCUCAAAUGUGUGCAGUGUGCCAAGUGCCACCGGGCUAGGGCAGCCACUGUGACAGUGAACCGCACACACUACCACUCAGAGGAGUCUAUCUGGACCUCUUUUAAGUGUAUGCAAGUUAUUCUUUAGACCCAAUCUAAAAAGAAAAGAAAAGCAGCCUCAACAACAAUUAAAAUUAUAUUUUGGCUGCAGAAGCCUCCAGCAGCAAUGGCUUAUGCUUGUCUCAGGCCUGCUACAUGCCAUGUACUGUUCUAAUCAACACCACACAUAUGGUGGUGGACACAGCACAGCUCACCCAUAUUCCUGGGCUUCUGGACCAUUUCUGCCACCUUGAAUUUAUGCACAGCCAUGCAGUUUGCUCUGGCCAAUGAAACGCAAGCAGAGUGAUUUGUGUCACAGGCUGUUGAAGCGUCUGAGAGCCAGUACAUCAUUCACGUAAUCUGUCUUCUUCGCGGUAGCAAGCAUGGGAGCACAUUGAUAUGAAGGGGCCGUAAAACUGAAGCAGCCUGGAGGAUGUUGGGCCAACACACGAAAGCAACUGUCCUGGAAGUCAUCCAAAUCUUCGGAAGACAUUGCACGAAUAGGAAAUAAACUUUGGUUGCAAUAAA